CCUACGGGAGGCAGCAGUGAGGAAUAUUGGUCAAUGGGCGGAAGCCUGAACCAGCCAAGUAGCGUGCAGGAUGACGGCCCUACGGGUUGUAAACUGCUUUUAUACGGGAAUAACGCGCCUUCCGUGUAGGGCUUUGCAUGUACCGUAUGAAUAAGGACCGGCUAAUUCCGUGACAGCAGCCGCGGUAAUACGGAGGGUCCGGGCGUUAUCCGGAUUUAAUGGGUUUAAAGGGAGCGUAGGCCGCAUGUCAAGCGUGCUGUGAAAUGUCCGGGCUCAACCCGGGCCUUGCAGCGCGUACUGGCGUGCUUGAGUGCGCGGAAAGCAGGCGGAAUUCGUCGUGUAGCGGUGAAAUGCUUAGAUAUGACGAAGAACCCCGAUUGCGAAGGCAGCUUGCUGCAGCGGAACUGACGCUGAUGCUCGAAAGCGCGGGUAUCGAACAGGAUUAGAUACCCUUGUAGUC
rnacentral:rRNA from 1 species